rnacentral:rRNA from 1 species
GAUGAACGCUAGCGGGAGGCCUAAUACAUGCAAGUCGAACGGUAAGGUCCUUCGGGAUACACGAGUGGCGGACGGGUGCGUAACGCGUACGGAAUAUACCUUCAACAGGGAGAUACCUCCGGGAAACUGGAAUUAAUACCCAUAGUAUUAUAGAUUCGCAUGAAUUUAUGAUUAAAGCUCAGGCGGUUGAAGAUUAUCGUGCGUCUGAUUAGGUAGUUGGUAGGGUAAUGGCCUACCAAGCAAACGAUCAGUAGCUGGUCUGAGAGGAUGAUCAGCCACACUGGAACUGAGACACGGUCCAGACUCCUACGGGAGGCAGCAGUAGGGAAUAUUGGGCAAUGGAGGCAACUCUGACCCAGCCAUCCCGCGUGCAGG